GCACGAUGUGUUCCCUGGCUGGCUUGUUAUUUCAGCAUAUAGGCAGCCAACUUACUUUUUAUUUUUUCUGCUUCAUUUUGAUUUUUAAGUUCCUUGGGGAAAAGGCACAUUUCUGUUUUGGUUAAUGGGUGCUCUGCUGUGCUGCUCUCGAUGUCACAAGGCAAGGUUUCUUAGGGCGACUGACAUCCUUUGUUGGACCAGCUCUAUAUUUGGGAUGAACUUAGAUGAGCUGUUACUUUUAGCAGAAAGUGUCUUCUUCCAUGGAGUCUCUUGUUCCUAGUACAGCAAGAACAGUACAGCUAAAAAACAGGUUUUAGUAGUAAUAAUCAUGGCUAAAUCCUGGGGAUCUAAACAUUGUAUAAACAUAGCUGGUCUACAGGUAUGUUCCACUCUGCUUUUGUCCUGGUGUUUGAUGCUAUUUGGCGCUUGUCUAAUUUUUUUAUUGAACGUGGAACAUGGUCACAGCACAGCAUCAGGAUUUGUGUGGGUUUUUUGGCUUUUUUUUUACUAAGCUUAUCUUGAGCUAUGAAAAUGUCAAAGGGGUUUUACUGAAUCAAUGAGCUGUGGCAUUAGAAUAAUUUGCUUUAAAUGAAAUUAGAAAGUUUGAACUGAUUGCAUGUUAUAGCUUCAUACAUAUGAAGCCAUAUUAAAGCAAAAGGCAGUGUAGAUUUACACCUUUUUGACUAAAUUUAAUUGCUUUUUACUGUACCAGAACUACAGGUAUUGCAGCAAGUGGCCACUUAAUGCUUGCUUUCAUGUUGUACCUACUCUGUUUUCAAAAAUAGGUCAGCAGGUAUCCUUUCUGUGAUUAUAAUGGAAAUAGGAGAAAAAUGUAUUUAGUCCCUUACAUGUAUCGAAGCAUUUCCUUAAGCUGAUAGUUAUUUUAUUUGGGGAAAAAUACUCCUUCCAGUUCUGGAUGUGCUUAUUACCCUGUAACUACUCACAGACACCAGCUUAGCCUCUCAGUCAUGAAGGCACUAUUGACUCAGGUUCUCCAGGGAAACCUUUGUCUUCUGCAAGACCUGUGUUCCUCCAAAAGGAUAAAUGCUCAUUCUAUAGCUAUUUCAUCGUUCAGGUCACAAUUGGAUCCUAAGAAUCAGCUUGCCCAGAUGCUUUUGAUUAAGAAAAGGACCAGAAUGACUUCUUGUCUGCUUACUCUUUUAGUGGAUGUUUGUGCAAUCAGGGUUAUUUUGUAUAUAGUUUUGUUUCAGUGAUUUGUUCUUUUUCAAUGCAUCAUUAUCUGUAUUCUAGAACAAUGAGCUUGAGAGGGGAAUUACAUUUGUUGCACACAAUCUGAAUUGGUGCUUGAAUUGCUAUGGUGCCAGCCAGUUAUGGCACUUAGAUAUUCUUCAGGACAUAAUAGUACACUUCACCAAAGUUGUAUGUCUGAAAUCAUCCUGUAUUGGAUAUUAUCCAUCAUUGUAUCCUUUCUUUUGAGAAAUAGAGAAGCUGUAACUCCAUGGAAGGAUUCUGAUGACAUAACAAACCACAUUAACAUGUGCUUUUAGAUUUAAUGUUAUUUGUCAACUCUAACUCUAACUAGAUCGUGGGUUUACUCUUUAGAAUUGCUUUUGGGCCUUCUGUUCUUUUCUCCCUAAUAUCUCAUAUCCCUAAUACCAUCCGAGUUUCCAGCCUCCAUUUUUUUCCUCUUCCCUUCCACAACAAGCCCAUUCUGGACUUUUCUCUCUGCAGAUUUUACCCUUUGGCUAGUUGUUUUGCUAGUUUUUGUUAAAGAUGGAAUCGGGAGCUACUUCAUAUCAGCUCUUUAGCGUUGUAAUAAAAAAUGAACCUGACAAGCUCUUCCUGCUGUG
rnacentral:lncRNA from 1 species